UGAACUUUUCCUUUCACACCAUGCAGCCGUGAGGAAAUUCUUCUGUCCCUCAUUCCUUAAAUUUCUCAUGCUGCAUGCAUAACAAACGAACCUAAAUUAAUCAUAUCGAAAUUCAACCCAGAGAUCCAUUUCCUACUGGUACAGUUUUUUUCUCUAAAUUAAUUGAUAAAUUUUGAAAGAAAGAAUUCGCAUUUUAAUUAUAAAGAUUCUUGAUCCAUGAAAGAAAGAUUCUUGAUCUUAGCAUAUAACUAAUGAUGGAUAAUUAGUGUAACACACACGUUGGUUUUUUUUUUUCCCACACAAUUUAAUUAGAAAAGUUUUAUCAUGUGUACCUGCUGGAGCCAAAUAUGCAUGAAUCCACGUCCACAACGUUCUUUUGCCUAACCAUGGAAAAUAAGAAUAUUGAACUAUGCGUGCUUGCAAUCUUUGUCAAAAAAAAAAAACGACAGAAAAUUCUCCAGGCUCUUCAUCGGCGUCAUAUUGCUCCACAAGCUCGUUUGAUCUCAAUAAAAUUCCUUGAAAGCCUACUUCGAAACACUAAAAUCAAUCGAGGCCGUGAUACGUACCUUGUAACCGUGUUGCGAUUUGCACCCAACGACCAUGAAUCGAUUAUGAACUUUUCCUUUCACACCAUGCAGCCGUGAGGAAAUUCUUCUGUCCCUCAUUCCUUAAAUUUCUCAUGCUGCAUGCAUAACAAACGAACCUAAAUUAAUCAUAUCGAAAUUCAACCCAGAGAUCCAUUUCCUACUGGUACAGUUUUUUUCUCUAAAUUAAUUGAUAAAUUUUGAAAGAAAGAAUUCGCAUUUUAAUUAUAAAGAUUCUUGAUCCAUGAAAGAAAGAUUCUUGAUCUUAGCAUAUAACUAAUGAUGGAUAAUUAGUGUAACACACACGUUGGUUUUUUUUUUUCCCACACAAUUUAAUUAGAAAAGUUUUAUCAUGUGUACCUGCUGGAGCCAAAUAUGCAUGAAUCCACGUCCACAACUUCUUUUGCCUAACCAUGGAAAAUAAGAAUAUUGAACUAUGCGUGCUUGCAAUCUUUGUCAAAAAAAAAAAACGAACAGAAAAUUCUCCAGGCUCUUCCAUCGGCGUCCUACUCACUUGACACUUCUUGAGGAAUGCGAUGUUAUAU
rnacentral:lncRNA from 1 species